CAUCUGGAAAGAAGGAAUGUGAGAAUAUUUGUCCUCCUGGCUGUAACAGGAAACCCCUGGUUCAGAAAUGGAAGCGCUAACCACAUGAAUCUGGCUCAUGUGUUCUGUUUACCCAAGAGCCAAUUUACACAGAUUUUGGAGACCAUGGCGCGAUGACACAGAGAAGGGGACAACAGAAGAAGAUGUGAUUUGUCUGUUUGAUUACAUGAAUAAAGGUCUCAUAUGCCAAAACAGCUGCUUAUUUCGGCCUUGACCAGUGUGGACAGUGUGGACAGUGUUGACAGUGUGGACAGUGUGGACAGUGUGGACAGUGUGGACAGUGUGGACAGUGUAAUUACACACCCCCUGAUCCAACUCUGAGCUUGUCCAUUACAUAAGGGUUACAGGGCAAUGAUACUGUCCAUAACCAUGGUAACUGUGCUUACUAACCCAAAGGAUAGUUGUGGGUCUACAUGGGAAUAUAUUGUAUAUAUAACUCAACAUUUAGAAUCAAAACAAACACAUCAUUUGUGGACUUACUAGUCAAAGGGAAUAUGUUUUUUUUGCUUUAAACGCAGUGGAAUAAUGACUGUAGUUAGACUUGCAGAUGCAUCUUUUUGCAGUUUUCUAGUAAUUUGUAAAGUUUCACUUGGUAAAAUACCAAUAAGAUACAAAUUCCAUAGCAUCUGCAGCAGGACAUAUCUCCAGGAACAAUUAUUUUGAUAUAUAUUUUUAUUGAAUUGAAAAAGUAUUUUGUAAAGUUCUGUCAAAUCAAUCAGACUCAAAGGUUUUUUUAAUAGCAUGAAUAAGUCAUAUUAACCCGAUGAGCCCCACUGUCAUUUUAAACAUCCUGAGAAAACAAUUUCUGUACUUACAGCAUUCAUAUAAAUUCAUUUUUAUCAGGUU